rnacentral:other from 2 species
AGUCUUCUGGGGUGUUAGUGUGCGAACUAUGUCCCUGAGCCGAUAAGUUUUACCUAAGGGAGUUAAGUAGUAUCUAUUGUGCAAGCCCAACGCGUAUUGGGAAGCCUACGGAUAUUGCACGAUUCCCGCCCUGAACACACGGUGUUCAGGACUAAUGUUGGCCACUGCAUUCUGGAAGCUUU